rnacentral:rRNA from 1 species
GAUGAACGCUGGCGGCGUGCCUAAUACAUGCAAGUCGAGCGAACAGACGAGGAGCUUGCUCCUCUGACGUUAGCGGCGGACGGGUGAGUAACACGUGGAUAACCUACCUAUAAGACUGGGAUAACUUCGGGAAACCGGAGCUAAUACCGGAUAAUAUAUUGAACCGCAUGGUUCAGUAGUGAAAGACGGUUUUGCUGUCACUUAUAGAUGGAUCCGCGCCGCAUUAGCUAGUUGGUAAGGUAACGGCUUACCAAGGCAACGAUGCGUAGCCGACCUGAGAGGGUGAUCGGCCACACUGUAACUGAGACACGGUCCAGACUCCUACGGGAGGCAGCAGUAGGGAAUCUGCCGCAAUGGGCGAAAGCCUGACGGAGCAACGCCGCGUGAGUGAUGAAGGUCUUCGGCUCGUAAAACUCUGUUAUUAGGGAAGAACAAAUGUGUAAGUAACUAUGCACGUCUUGACGGUACCUAAUCAGAAAGCCACGGCUAACUACGU